rnacentral:rRNA from 1 species
AGCAGUCGCCGCGGGAAUACGUAGGGUGCAAGCGUUAAUCGGAAUUACUGGGCGUAAAGCGUGCGCAGGCGGUUUUGUAAGUCUGUCGUGAAAUCCCCGGGCUCAACCUGGGAAUGGCGAUGGAGACUGCAAGGCUAGAAUCUGGCAGAGGGGGGUAGAAUUCCACGUGUAGCAGUGAAAUGCGUAGAUAUGUGGAGGAACACCGAUGGCGAAGGCAGCCCCCUGGGCUAAGAUUGACGCUCAUGCACGAAAGCGUGGGGAGCAAACAGGAUUAGAUACCCCGGUAGUCCCUGUCUCUUAUAC